rnacentral:lncRNA from 1 species
UUUUUAUCAUAAACUUAGAAAUAACUUGGGAUUCAAAUUGAUGGAAGAAAAACGAUUGAUCCUUUUGAUUCAUCUAAUUACUACUUUUCUUGGCAAUUUCAUGUAUGAUUACAAAUUACUCAGUUUAGUUUCACGAUUAGAUUAAAUCAAAAUUGAUUAUGCCCAAUGUCUUGGUAACAUAAUCCUCUCCCUUGAUCAUCGAUUCCUAAUGUCUUAGGUAAUCUAUGAUCAAUUGAGGUUUACAAACUUUAAUAUUUUAAUCUCAAUUAACGAUCCGAAAUGUCUUAAGUGAAAGUUAAUUUAUCAAUCAUUCCUAGAUCAAUCAUUCAUUCCUAUCGUCAUAGUAAAACAAAUAAUUAAAAUCAUUACACAAUUGAUCAAGUCAUGCAAAGCAUUAAGCACAAAGAAUAAUUGAAGAAACUAACUUCGUAAUUCAUAUAUCAAUUCAUAUGAUAAUCACAUUGUUCAAGAAAAAUAACAAUUAGAAUCCCUAAAGACCAAUCAUUAAAAUUUAGCUAGACAUCUAUUACAAUAUAAGAAAACUAAUGACAAUGGUAAAAUCAGUUUUGCCCUUGCUUAAUAAAAUGCCACCUGUCCUUUUGAAGGGUAUUUUGAGUCCAAAAAUUAAGUAAUGGAACCAGAUAUGUGCCUAACCGAGCCAUAUUGCUGGCUAACUAAGCCAAAUAGCUAUUUUGUGAGACAAAAUACCACUUUAUUGCAAGCCAUGGUUCCACUUAAACUAUACCAAUUGGAUUUCAAUUGGUGGCUUUAUGUCACAUCACAAUUUUUCCUUUCAAAAAAGGACCAAAAAUUGAUUUUUCCCAAAACACUUUCUCUUUCUAUCAAACUUUCACCAGAUUUCAAUGUUGACCAAAUUCAAAAUUCAAAAUUUUUUUCCCCUCUUUCAUUUUUUCAAAAUUCUAUAUCAUCUUUAACACUUUUUUCAUUUCACAUUUCAUUCAUUUUCCUCUUCUUUAUCUGACUUUAUAUUUGUGCAUUACUUCUCUUCAUUUUUUUCCUAAUAUACAUUUUUGAAUAAAUCUCAUCUUAAUCUUCUUUGUCUAAUCAGAUGAAUUUUUUUUCUUUCAUGAAAGUUUAACAAUCAAACAGCAGCAGAGAUAAAUAAAAUAUAAAGAAAUAAGAGGAAUAACUUCAUUUUGGUAACUUUUUAUUAUCUUCUCAUCUUAACUUCAACUUUCUAACCAUUAAACUUGGUUUGGUUUUGCAGGAACAAUAUUGAUGUCCUUAUUUCUACAACAAACCACAAAGAAGGACAUGGGUAAGUAAAUAAUAAAAGUUUUAAUUUGAUAUAUUGAUUUUAUUUACCUUACUUUCCUUUUCGCACGGUUCAUUAUGUUAAAAAAGAAAUUUUUAUUUGAAAAAACAACUGGAAAAAUAUACUUGAUUAAAUUUGAGAAAUUGAAAAACAAAAUUAUUAUGAUUUUUUUUCCUUGAACUUCAUGACAGCCAAAUAAGUUCGUCUAGCGCGGGUAUGUAGACGAAACUCAUUUUCUUCACUAUAUUUAGUUUUGGUUACUGUUGUUGAUCCAUAUGAAUAAAUGUUUUGUUUUCACUAUAUUUAAAGGUUCAAGAUUAAAGAAAACUUUUUUUAAUAGUUUAAUUUUUUUUGUUUUGAUGUAUAAAUUCAUCAAAACUUUUUUUUAAUAAUGAAUCAAAAAUUUUGAGGACCGAUUUAUUUUGUAGGUCUCAAGAGUAUAAAUAUUGAAGGUGCAAGAUGAGAAAGAGAUGGUGAGGGAUAUGCCGUGAACAGAGACACAGUGGGUUGAGAUCUAGAAAAUUUGUUUUAACGUUAGAUGUAGAAAAAAAAAAUAUGUAACAAAAAAAAUUAGAAGAAAAAAAAAUCAACUAUUUCUCAUUCAUGAACUUAUUUUAUUUUAUUAGUUUUGAUUAUUUCACUUUUAGUUGUAUAGAAAAAGAAAGAAGAUGCAAAAUAAGAAAUAUAUAAAAAAAGAAAUAAAAUAAAAAUUACUACAGAGGCUAGAAAACAACAGAAACAUCUUUUCCUAUAAAUUUCCAAGAUCCAACAAAUAAAUAACAAAAAAAAUUAUAUAAUUACAGUAAUGAAAUCAUGGGAAAUAUAUUCAAAAGAUGAGCAUGACUUCUACAAACAAAGGACAAAAAAACAACUUACAAAGAAAAAGAAAUUCAAACCAGAUAUGAUUUUUUCCCCUUCUUUUGUUGUCUUUGAUUUUGUUCUUGGAUGUAAAAGUACACUGAAGAAGAUGAAGUCCCACAAUGUUUUCGGUAGGAUGGAGGAGAAGACAACAACACCAAACACAUAUUUUGGUCACGGUCACAGUGUUUACCGGCACGGUGGCCGCCGACGAAGGUGUUCUGAUCUUAAAUUUUCUUUGUGGGUAUUGUAAAGGAGAUGAAGGAGAUUAUUUAUAUGGUGGUGAUAUUUCAAAAGAUUUUCUAUGGAGGUCAAGAUCUAGGUGAGAAAGUGAUAAUUAAGAUUUAAAAAAAAAAUUGUGCAAAGGUGAAGAAAUGGAACAUGUUGGUCGUGAGAAGAAGAAGAGGAGAUGUUGAUGAAGGAGAGUUUAUGAUAUUGAAGGAAGAUGUUGGAAGAAAAAAAAAGAAAAAAAAAAGGGAAGGAAUGGAGCGGCUGNNN